UCUUGAUAUCUUUGGUGCACUUGCAUUAUUAAUGAAACCUGAAGGAAUCUUUGUCAAGAAUGAACUUUACUAUGGACAAAUGUCCAAGUUGUUUGACCACUCAGUCUUUGUGUACAUGACAGAUUAUC
rnacentral:ribozyme from 1 species